rnacentral:rRNA from 1 species
UCCACGCAGUAAACGAUGAAUGUUAGUCGUCGGGGGCCUAGUGUCUUCGGUGAUGCAGCUAACGCAUUAAACAUUCCGCCUGGGGAGUACGGUCGCAAGAUUAAAACUCAAAGGAAUAGACGGGGACCCGCACAAGUGGUGGAGCAUGUGGUUUAAUUCGAAGAUACGCGAAGAACCUUACCUAGCCUUGACAUAUUUUAGAACUCCGUAGAGAUACAGAGGUGCCUUCGGGA